CCGGGUGAGUAACACGUGACUACCUGCCCUUGAGUGGGGGAUAACCUCGGGAAACCGAGGCUAAUACCGCAUAAUAUCGCAAGAUCAAAGGAGCAAUCCGCUUUUGGAGGGGGUCGCGGCUGAUUAGCUAGUUGGUAGGGUAAUGGCCUACCAAGGCGAAGAUCGGUAUCCGGCCUGAGAGGGCGCACGGACACACUGGAACUGAAACACGGUCCAGACUCCUACGGGAGGCAGCAGUGGGGAAUUUUGCGCAAUGGGGGAAACCCUGACGCAGCAACGCCGCGUGGAGGAUGAAGCCCCUUGGGGCGUAAACUCCUUUCGACUGGGAAGAUUAUGACGGUACCAGUGGAAGAAGCACCGGCUAACUCUGUGCCAGCAGCCGCGG
rnacentral:rRNA from 1 species